UUGGCCAAAAGAGGCUAGAAAGAGUCAUUGCAUAUGUAUUGAGGUUUAUUCAAAUCAAAACCAAAAAGAAAGAAUUUCCUCCAUUUUUGACGAUCUCUUCGAUCGCUUGUUUGGCGAUUUUAAAAAAUUCCUUGAGGUUGAGAGAAAGUUUGUAUACCGAAUGUUUAUCAUCGAAGAGUUUUUGAACUCGAACUUGAACUGAAUGUACUAAUGGUCUGAGAAGGAUGGUCUUUCGAGAACUCUCCAGCCAGAUACUAAAGUACUCUUUGUCGUGACGAGAGUUAGGUCUAGCACGUUUGACGAGGUGGGACCUACGAAGAUGUUUUCCUCCCCCACGUUUGCUACAUCUAAGUUAUUGGAUAGUAUAAAGUCUAGGAGCGACUUACCAUUGUCCUUGAUGUCGGGGCUUCCCCACACAUUUUGGUGCGCAUUGGAAUCCGUACUAAUGAUGAGUUGGUGGUUUUUGGGGCCGGCUUCUGUCACCAGACUCCCAAGUUCGUCCUGUGGUGCGGGUCUGUCGUGUGCCAUGUAGCAGGAAGCUUCCAUAAGGGGCUUCUCCUCGCUCUCCAGCACGCCCGGAUUUUGCCUCUGCAGCAGCUUCAGUGCUCGCUCUCCUUGGAGAGCAAUGGGGAAGAGCACCUUCGCCUUUGGUAUAGACGGGAUUAACUCCCUGUCUACCGCCUCCUGCUUGGCCCCCUCCCACAGAGCUUCUGUCGCGUUGGGUCGUCGUUGCACUUGAGGAUAUUGACCCCGUUCAGCCAUCCCGCUCCAUAAAACGUGGGCAUGGGAGCGCUGGGGUCCCGUCCCAUUCGCGAGAUGAUCGCCGCCACUGCGCCGCUGUCAUCUUCCCAUUGUCAUCACUGCGGUCGAUCAAGUGUUUUUCGGCCCUCCCGUACCCGUUGCUCAGCCUAGGCUUGCUUAGAUUCCUCCUCUUGGGAGAUAUCCGCUUGGCCUUCGAGCUGGCUCAGUAACUUGAAGGCCGCCUUAUUUUUCCUUCAUCCCCUCCCUAGAACGCUUCGACCCUUCCGAACGUAGGGAGCUGGUGUCGACAGCGAAUAAAAUUUCGAAACAAGUCGACCAGUGUGCCAGACAAACGCUAAUAGUGGAAUCGGUAGGAAUUGAGAGAGGAGAAGAGCAGUUGCAGCAGCAGCUAGUGACAGAGAGCGCUACUGCACAGAAAGUUUUGAAAGCGAUAAAGAAAGAACAGUUAUUUAUAUUUAGGUGAUAGAGAGAGAGUGAUAAAACAAAAAAAGCUAUAAACUGAGAGCGGGAUGUAAUGCGUAUUUACUAGCAACAACAAGCAACACGACAAACCAAAGCAAAAAUAAAAAGUUAAAAAAGAGUCGUGGAAUAGUAUAGAUUUCCAGAUUGUAGGCUGGUUAGGGAGUUAAUUAAUUAUUUUACGAAAACACCUGCUGUUUAUGCAAAACAAAAGGAAAAAAGCGGAGUGCAAAAAAAAAUAGUACGAAAAAGAAUACACGAUUUGAAUGAAUACAGAUUACCAACGACU